UUGCUUAAAGAUUUUCUAUGU
rnacentral:miRNA from 1 species